ACCAAGGAAGCCCUGGCCUAGUCGGGGCACUGGGACCAAGUGGCAACCCUGGACAAGAUGGCCCACCUGGGCCUCGAGGCCAACCAGGCAUUGAUGGGGCUAUUGGGCUCCCUGGUCUUCGAGGGCUAAUCGGAGACCCAGGGACCCCAGGACGCAAAGGAGACGACCGUACAGUGCUUGUGCCUGGAGACGGUGGAGAUCCAGGGCCAACUGGUCCUCCUGGUCCCACUGGAGACAGAGGAGAUGCUGGGGUUGUGGGAUUUGAUGGCGGGAAUGGCAAAAAUGGGU